UGCAGACAAGGCUACUAAACAGAUCUACAUUUUUAAAAGGGCAAAAAGCAUAGUGCAACACUAAUUUCCUUCAGUACUACAAGGAAGAAGAUGUAACUAAAAUUUGGAGCUAUUAACCAUGGAACCUUUGCUGGAAUUCAGAUGGGAUCUAUAAAUUAAGGAAAACAGAAGGGUAUGAAAAUGAGAAUGGAAGAGAGAAGAAAUAGUACAAAAGCAUGAGAAGCAUUUUCAGUAUGCUAUAUGAGAAAUUGGCCUUUAAAUAUUGAUGCAGUUGUUAUCUUCUCUCCAAAGUUCAAAACAGAUAUGAGGUGAAGGAAUGAAGCAAUGGAGGUGGAAUUUCCCACCUUUAUUCUGGCUGCAGCUAGCAGAGUGACAGGUGCUUUUAUUGUUGCCUUCUCUACUGAUGUGACUUGUAUUUUAUUACACCAUUUUCUUCUCUUCAAGUCCCCCACAUCUAUCCAGCCUUAUAAUCUACAGUUGCAGUUGCAGUAGUAGUUGCAGUUGCAGUCCCAGGAUAUCAUCUUAGAGGAAAUAGAGUCACCUCAGUUAAGAGCCACUUUAUCAAUGCAGGAGAAUGAACUAUCC
rnacentral:lncRNA from 11 species